rnacentral:rRNA from 1 species
UACGUAGGGUGCGAGCGUUGUCCGGAAUUAUUGGGCGUAAAGAGCUUGUAGGCGGUCUGUCGCGUCUGCUGUGAAAAUCCGGGGCUCAACCCCGGACUUGCAGUGGGUACGGGCAGACUAGAGUGUGGUAGGGGAGACUGGAAUUCCUGGUGUAGCGGUGAAAUGCGCAGAUAUCAGGAGGAACACCGGUGGCGAAGGCGGGUCUCUGG